rnacentral:tRNA from 1 species
GACCAUUUAGUUUAUAAAAAAUAGAUAUUUUGAAAAUAUCAGAAAAGGGAAAUUUUACUUAAUGAUCG